UUGUUUGUGUAUACUUUGCUUGUUUGUGAUAUAUCUUGUUAAUGUACAUAAUAACAACAAAAACCCUAAAAAACUUUUGUGUGGACUGUUGGCUUGAUCUUGGACAAAUGGACUUAGAACUUAGGCAACAUUCUUAUGCUAAAGGACUUGGCCAAUGCCAACUUUCUAUGAAAACAAGUGCUUGCAAUUUGAAACUUCAUCUGAUACAUCAUUCAAGAUACCUUUGAGUUCGUCUGCAACAUAAUCAUUGUGAAGCUGUUAUUUUGAACCUGUGGCUUGUUGAAUUCAUCUGUUACAUGGGCUAAUUUGAAGAAUAUGAAAUUCUAGUUAACAGACUUCUGAUGUCACAGGGGUUGUUAUGACAUCCAAUUCUGCGCAGACAAGAAUUAUGCAGAACUUAAAAUGUAAGUGCAGUAAAUAACACAAGUAAUU
rnacentral:lncRNA from 1 species